rnacentral:rRNA from 1 species
UACGGAGGAUGCAAGCGUUAUCCGGAAUGAUUGGGCGUAAAGGGUCCGCAGGUGGCCGUGUAAGUCUGCUGUCAAAGAAUGAGGCUUAACCUUAUCAAGGCAGUGGAAACUACACAGCUAGAGUACGGUCGGGGUAGAAGGAAUUCCUGGUGUAGCGGUGAAAUGCGUAGAGAUCAGGAAGAACACCGGUGGCGAAAGCGUUCUGCUAGACCUGUACUGACACUGAGGGACGAAAGCUAGGGGAGCGAAUGGG